rnacentral:rRNA from 1 species
AACCUACCUUAAAGUGGAGGACAGUCCUGGGAAACUGGGUUUAAUACUCCAUGUGCUUAUAAGUAAAGAUGCCUUCGGGUGUCGCUUUAAGAUGGGCUCGCGUUCUAUCAGCUAGUUGGUGAGGUAAAGGCUCACCAAGGCGACGACGGAUAGCUGGUCUUAGAGGAUGACCAGCCACACUGGAACUGAGACACGGUCCAGACACCUACGGGUGGCAGCAGUCGAGAAUAAUUCACAAUGGACGAAAGUCUGAUGGUGCAACGCCGCGUGGAGGAUGACGGUUUUCGGAUUGUAAACUCCUGUCAUCGGGGAGUAAGUCUUAUGCUUUAAUAGAGUGCUAGAUUGAGAGUACCCGAAGAGGAAGGGACGGCUAACUUCGUGCCAGCAGCCGCGGUAAUACGAAGGUCCCAAGCGU